UACGGAGGGGGCUAGCGUUGUUCGGAAUUACUGGGCGUAAAGCGCACGUAGGCGGCUUUGUAAGUUAGAGGUGAAAGCCCGGGGCUCAACUCCAGAACUGCCUUUGAUACUGAAGAUCUUGAGUUCGGGAGAGGUGAGUGGAACUGCGAGUGUAGAGGUGAAAUUCGUAGAUAUUCGCAAGAACACCAGUGGCGAAGGCGGCUCACUGGCCCGAUACUGACGCUGAGGCACGAAAGCGUGGGGAGCGAACAGG
rnacentral:rRNA from 1 species